rnacentral:rRNA from 1 species
AUUGAACGCUGGCGGCAUGCUUUACACAUGUAAGUCGAACGGUAACAGGGAGCUUGCUCCGCUGACGAGUGGCGAACGGGUGAGUAAUGCGUCGGAACGUGCCGAGUAGUGGGGGAUAACGCAUCGAAAGGUGUGCUAAUACCGCAUACGUACUGAGGUAGAAAGUGGGGGACCUUCGGGCCUCACGCUAUUCGAGCGGCCGACGUCUGAUUAGCUAGUUGGUGUGGUGAAGGCUCACCAAGGCGACGAUCAGUAGCGGGUCUGAGAGGAUGGGCCGCGAGACUGUGACUGGGCCACAGACCAGGCUCCGACGGGAGGCAGGAGAGGGGAAUUUUGGACAAGGGUCGCAAGCCUGAUCCAGCCAUGGCGCGUGUCUGAAGAAGGCCUUCGGGUUGUAAAGGACUUUCAGUAGGGAGGAAGGGUGUUGUGUUAAUAGCACAGCAUUUUGACGUUACCUACAGAAGAAGCACCGGCUAACUCCGUGCCAGCCGCCGCGGUAAAAC